CUGUCGGUUAAUCAUUUGUUAAUACAAACAGGUCAACCCAACCAACACUGUUGAAUUAUGUAAAUAAUAGGUAUCAAUAGGGGUGUGAUGCCAGUAGAUAUUACUUAAAAUUAAUCGUUAAAUUACCAUAAUUGUAUUUUCUUUAUUGAAAGUGUCGUUUUUUACUUUUUUCUAGGUUUUGACUGGAGAUGAGUGAGAAAUUGAAGUGUGGCGCAUUGAGUAUUUUAAGCCAGUGCCCGUUACACAGGCUUCUUAUAGCAAGUUUUUUACAUGGGACUCCUAUUUUAUAUUGAAGGAGAGCAAAAUUUUGAAGUUCUUAUGGUUUAUAUUAAACCCGCUAGCAUGGGUCAUGGAAGCUGCAGCAAUUAUGGCUGCACUUGCAAAUGGAAGAGUGACUAAUCUCAAGUUCUCAACUGUAUUCAAAUAUGCAACAGUGGUAAAGCACCUAAUUGGUUCAUUUAGAACAAGUGGGAUAGGUGUGGCACUGUCUGGUCCAGAUAGCGGAUGGCGGCUGGCCUCCUAACUGUUGCGUCACCUGUUCAGGUUUCCUUUUCCCUACCCACUCAAUGAGAUUAAAAACUAGAGGCGACACUUUUGACCCGUUCUCCUAGAAAUGGGUAAAGGGCAUUCCUUAAGUGCCACCAGACCUGUACUGAACCGCAACCAGAAAUUUAGGAAUGAUGGAACCGAGAACCAGAGCCAUCUAAAGUUGUUUGGUAUUUUGGUUCCACCGUUCCGGUUUAAAACUGGUUUGGUCCCAAACCGGAUAAUAACUUGAAUACAAAUUGGUUUAAAGUGUUUUAUAUUUUGA